GCCUUGAAGCGGGGGUACCGCGGCCCAGGGCCGGCGGUUGAGACAGUCCCUUCGAACCUGAUGCGGUUGACACCGCCGUAGGGAAGCUUCGCCGGACACGGC
rnacentral:ncRNA from 2 species